UGUAUCAAGACAAGAGCGAAAAAGUACUCUGUGGAAGCAUCUGCUAAGAUCUGUGAGGCCUACAAGGCAUAUUUUGGCAUGCCUGUCGGGGAUCAAGACAAACCCUGGGCACCUCAUUUCACCUGCGAGCAAUGCAAAAAAAACUCUGGAAGCACGGGGUGCCCCAUGCACAUGUAUUACACAUGGGGAAGAAAGCGAGAAGACGAAGAAGAAUAAAGUGAUGGAGUGCUGGAGCUGGUGUGGAAAAGUUGGCGCAACCAGGCUGAGAAAACUAAACAACGACCACCAUUCGCCACUAAGUAUUGCUGACGUCGCCACGGCGCUUGCGCCAGGCUCGGCAGCAGUUGGUGUCAUGUCACGUGGACCACUUUCACGAAGACUGACAAUGUUCCCAGGGCGGAAAUGCAGACACGCAAUAGAUCUAAUACUUUUUUUUGCACGGCAUCAAUCAAUCAAUCGCUCACGUCUCUUUGUUUUGUCCUGUCACCUCUUCUAACACGCGUUUCACCACCGCUUUUCGCGCCUGGCAUUUGUAACUCGCCACGCAAAUCGGACAUGGUCAACGGAAUUUCAGGGCUUGGAGCACAUUGCCAAAAUCUCAGCGAGCCAGCUGCACCACGGGGAGGAUUAGUGGCUGCCCCAUGCACACAGAAGAUGCUGAAAGGUGAAUUUGUAUUGUGGAGUAAUCACGUGACAUUAUUAGGGCACGAUAUGAAAUGCUCAAUCAUGAGACCUAUCGUUUGCAAGAGUGGCACGUUCGCAAUGAAUCGAGAAUGUCUUAUGUACGUUGAACUUCCCCACGCGUAGUCAACCGUGCUCAUCGCAGGUGCGGUGGAAGGACAACAAACACAAAAUAAAUGACGAGGUGGCCCCAGCAGCUCUGAUGGGGGUGGGGGGAGUUGCGAAUACUGCAAUGGAGCAAUGAGCUGGCACCAUUGGGGUUCUGGGUUUGUACCCAGGCAGUUGAUUAAAUUGAAGUCUCAAGUGAACUAUUUGGUGGUUAUAGCCCCAGUCAUCGAUGACCGACCGUGCAUAAAGCAUGAUAUUACACGUGGGGU